GAUGAAGAACGUAGCGAAAUGCGAUACGUAGUGUGAAUUGCAGAAUUCAGGGAAUCAUCGAAUCUUUGAACGCACAUUGCACCUCUCGGUAUUCCGGGAGGUAUGCCUGUUCGAGCGUCAUUUGUACCCUCAAGCUCUGCUUGGUGUUGGGUGUUUGUUCCGCCUCUGUGUGUGAACUCGCCUCAAAACAAUUGGCAGCCGGCGUACUUGUUUCGGAGCGCAGCACAUUUUGCGAUCCAGAUCAACGUACAGCGGCAUCCAAGAAGCCUUAUUUAACGCUCUUGACCUCGGAUCAGGUAGGGAUACCCGCUGAACUUAAGCAUAUCAAUAAGCGGAGGA
rnacentral:misc_RNA from 1 species